rnacentral:rRNA from 1 species
GGGGAUCUGCCCGAUAGAGGGGGAUAACCACUGGAAACGGUGGCUAAUACCGCAUAACGUCGCAAGACCAAAGAGGGGGACCUUCGGGCCUCUCACUAUCGGAUGAACCCAGAUGGGAUUAGCUAGUAGGCGGGGUAAUGGCCCACCUAGGCGACGAUCCCUAGCUGGUCUGAGAGGAUGACCAGCCACACUGGAACUGAGACACGGUCCAGACUCCUACGGGAGGCAGCAGUGGGGAAUAUUGCACAAUGGGCGCAAGCCUGAUGCAGCCAUGCCGCGUGUAUGAAGAAGGCCUUCGGGUUGUAAAGUACUUUCAGCGGGGAGGAAGGCGACGGGGUUAAUAACCGCGUCGAUUGACGUUACCCGCAGAAGAAGCACCGGCUAACUCCGUGCCAGCAGCCGCGGUAAUACGGAGGGUGCAAGCGUUAAUCGGAAUUACUGGGCGUAAAGCGCACGCAGGCGGUCUGUUAAGUCAGAUGUGAAAUCCCCGGGCUUAACCUGGGAACUGCAUUUGAAACUGGCAGGCUUGAGUCUUGUAGAGGGGGGUAGAAUUCCAGGU